UUUGUCAAAGAGUAGGAGGAGGUGUUUUCCAAGAAGGAUGAAACCCAAGCUUCUCCAGUGCAAGAAAAAUGGGGCAUAUUGUCCUGGAAUUAUGGCCAACAUUCUACAGGGCAACAGGUCAUUGAUUCUGAUCCUGCCAGCCUCCACCCAUCUUAUUGGUGGGCAUCAUCCCAGGGUGAACCUGUGAAAGAUAUUGCUUAGUACUGCUUGGAGCAAUAUUCUUUUAUUGAUGAAGCUGUCAGAAGAGAGGAAAAUCCCAGGGUGAAAAGAUUAAGGAAAAGAGAAAAUAAGAAUGGAAAAUGGAUGACAGAUGAGAAGAAAUGGCUUGAAAUACCUGUUGGAAAUUUCUAUCUGAUGACACAAACAGUCCAUUACCACGGCUUCAUAAAUUCACAUCAUAAUCUAUCUCUCUUCAGUUUUCCUCUUUCCCUGUUGCUUUAUAAUACAUAAAAUAAUCUAGAGAGAACUACAGAAAAUAAAAAUUAAAAUGCAAACUUAUUCCCAACAAGCUUUCUUUUUCUUGUAGAUGUUUGCAUCACUUUUUAAAAUAUUUCCCAUGGUUUUACUUCAUUCAUAUUAGAACCUAAGCUCUUCAAGAAGACAGUAACUUUUUAUUAUUUUACUAUCAUAGACAUCAAUUAAAUAUCAGCACAUAAGGCUACUGACAUUUAAUUAUCUAAGAUUUUUUUUUGAGAAAGUCUUUAUUUACCAAGAUUUUCAAUGACCUUCUGUGUCAAACUCUGGGCUCUUCUUCAUCAUUGAUACUUGCCUUUCUGAGAUACUCAAUAUCAUUAAACACCCUCUCCUUCAGGUAGCAGGCUGUUCCAUUUUACCAUUCUUCCUGCUUGUUCUUCACCUUUUAUUUUUUGUCUUUAAAAGAAAAGAUUAUGUUCUUUCUCCUUUAUAAAAAUAUGUUCCAGCCAUACUGAAUUACUUCCUGUGCUUUGUGCCCACUGUGCUACCUCAUGCCUUCCUGCCUCUCCCUUUACUUCUCCUGACACCUGAAACACCUGCCAACCCCUCUUUGCCAAGUGAAUGUUCCUCAAUGACUCAGCUGAGAUCUGCAUUUUUGAUGUAUUUCCUAAUCUUUCCAGGCUAAGACAAGUAAGUUGUUUUGUUCUGUACUCGUCCAAUAUGCUCUUUAGGUCACUUAUUUCAUUGUAUCGAAAGGAUUAAUUUUCUUAACUAUCUCAUUAGAUUGUGAGCAGUUUGAGGUCAG
rnacentral:lncRNA from 10 species